rnacentral:snRNA from 1 species
AUCGCUUCUCGGCCUUUUGGCUAAGAUCAAGUGUAGUAUCUGUUCUAAUCAGUUUAAUAUCUGAUACGUCCCCUACCCGGGGACCAUAUAUUAAAUAGAUUUUUGGAACAGGGAGUAAAAUCUAA